rnacentral:rRNA from 1 species
AUUGAACGCUGGCGGCAGGCCUAACACAUGCAAGUCGAGCGGAUGAAGGGAGCUUGCUCCUGGAUUCAGCGGCGGACGGGUGAGUAAUGCCUAGGAAUCUGCCUGGUAGUGGGGGAUAACGUCCGGAAACGGGCGCUAAUACCGCAUACGUCCUGAGGGAGAAAGUGGGGGAUCUUCGGACCUCACGCUAUCAGAUGAGCCUAGGUCGGAUUAGCUAGUUGGUGGGGUAAAGGCCUACCAAGGCGACGAUCCGUAACUGGUCUGAGAGGAUGAUCAGUCACACUGGAACUGAGACACGGUCCAGACUCCUACGGGGGGCAGCAGUGGGGAAUAUUGGACAAUGGGCGAAAGCCUGAUCCAACCAUGCCGCGUGUGUGAAGAAGGUCUUCGGAUUGUAAAGCACUUUAAGUUGGGAGGAAGGGCAGUAAGUUAAUACCUUGCUGUUUUGACGUUACCAACAGAAUAAGCACCGGCUAACUUCGUG